CGCGGGAUGGAGCAGUUGGUAGCUCGUCGGGCUCAUAACCCGAAGGCCGAAGGUUCAAGUCCUUCUCCCGCAA
rfam:Desulfonispora thiosulfatigenes DSM 11270 genome assembly, contig: Dest_Contig00029